ACUUGCCAUGCAUCGAUCCGGUGUUCUCUUAUAAGACGUGAUUAAUUAUUUCAGUAUGAAAAGUAAACUCAGCAUGUGCGCACGAACUGUGAGAGUUGAUUAUCGAUCAAAUUAGGCUAAUAAAAAAACAGGGUGACGCCCGACUUACUUAUCACCGCUACACUACCAUUUACGAUUCUCAGUAGCUCUGUCGAACUGAUACCUACAUAUAUUAGCAAACUUGGAAGACUCCAUAGAGUUUUCAAGUAGCCUGAAACAAAAGACCCAUAGAGUUUCAAGCAGGACAAACAAGCACAAAAGAAGUUAGUGCAUAGUGGCGGUCUUAAUAUAAGCAGCACUUUCUGGAGGACGUCCAUUUCAAACAUUCUCAUUAUUCGAAUAUUUUACUGCUCCCAGACCACGAUGUACUUCUUACGAAUAAUCCUCCUAGCCAUAUUCUUCACUACAAUGUUCGUUAAAGCGGCUCCAAAACAUUGUGACUGUGUAUUUCACGAUGAUAUAGAAGAAACUACACACCACGAACAUGGUUCUCUAAAAUUCAAAAUUGGAAAUAAUAUAAGAAUUAAGUAUGAAAGGAGAAAAGUAAAAAAAACACGUAGUAAUCUACAACAACAACAAUAAACAAAAUAAAUUUAGUCAAUGACUG